GGAAGGGUAGAGAGAGUGGAAGCUAGUGAGACAAGAAAGAGGAAGGAGAAAGAAGUUCAUCAUUUUCAUAUCUCCAUUUUCGCAACCCUUGAUACAGCUCCACUAAAUCAGCUUGUUUAUUGGUGGAGAUAAACGCAUUUGAAGAUUGAUGAUUGAUGCUGAAAGUGAGUACAAGAGUGAUUACGGGUUUGAUCAUAUUAGAGGUGAAGUGUUGGUCAAAGAGAGAGUUCAAUGGCAGCAAGAGUAUUCUCAUAACCUCCAUUAAAUCCAUGGUGCAGUUUAGUAGCGUUUGACAGAUAGUAGGUUCGGAUUGACGACUUAAAGUGGUGAUGGCUCGGAGACCUCGUCAGAUCUUAUUUUCCGCUGUGCAGAUCCAUGAAGACACAUGUUUUGUAAUUAUUAAUAUUAUUUCAUGUUGUAUUUAUAUGGAUCUUCUUGUAUCUUUAGCUUUUGUAUGUACUCAAAUACCGAUUUUUAACGUUUCAUGCAUAAUAUACUAGUCAAUUAUGUGUGGGGUGUUACAGAUAGCCAUCUAUCUAGCCAAAAAUCAAUAUGAUUACAAUUUCCUAGCUUGCAAAUAAUAGCCGACGAAAACCAAUUUUCCAAUGGUCCGUUUCCGCCCGCUCCCACCAAACAAAGAUCUUUCCACCAGAGCGACACCUUGUUUCUUUUGUGAGUCACAUGAUUGGAGAGCAUAACUCUCUUUAUGUCACCGUACCUGCAAGAAAGAAGGUUAGUCCAUAAAAAAUUAUCCCCACUCAAAAUCCUCCACCUCCACUUACUAAGAAGCGCCUCAUUAAACAAACCACAAUGUUUGACUCCUAAACCACCCUCCUUCUUAGGAAGACAAACCUUAUCCCACCCAAUCCAAUUAAUCUUCUUCUUAUCCUCACUACCACCCCAUAAAAAAUUCCUUUGAAUCUUAAUAAUCUCUUUAAUAACCACUUUUGGAGCCUUAAAAAAAGAGAACAUAAAGAUUGGAAUACUAGACAAUACCGAAUUCAACAUCACCACUCUCCCACCAAUCGAUAAGUGUCUAAAUCUCCAAGACUCCAACCUUUUCCGCAACUUGGAUACCACCGGCCUCCAAACCUCCCUCCUCCUAUGAUUAGAGCCAAUCGGAAUACCU